CGGCCUGGAGCAAGAUGCUUAAGCUCUCUGUGUCUCGGUGCCUCCGAGGGUCAUUACGAAGAUGAGAUGAAUUAACACUUGUAAAGCCCUUAGACCAGACCGCGCCAGGCAGACAGGAAGUGCCAUGUGGGACUCAGCUGUCGUUAGAGUUCUUGCUAACUGCUGUUUGAGCUCUGUCACCCUGGGCAAGUCCCUGCCCUUCCUCAGUCUCCCCUUCUGCCUUUGAAAGGGGACCGAAAAAAAAAAAAAAAAAAGAAAAAAAGAAAGGGGACCGAGUCAGCAGGCAGUGAGCAGCCAUGCCUGCCCCACCGCACACCUCCAGCUCACAGUCUAGGGGAGCACAGAGCCGAGUGGAGACCACAGCCACCCCGAGUUCGCUGUGCUGUGAUGGGGACACCCGGGGGUGGUGGGAGCCCAGAAGAGGCAUCUGACGCAGGGUAGGUGCCCCUGGAGGGAGGGGGGCAGUUCAAGCUGGGCUGUAAUGGGUGAGCAGUUCAACGGUAGAGCGGGCAGGGGGUGGAGAGGGGGGGCCCAGGCAAGCAGGGGUUCUCAGAGUGUCAGAACCCCCCCCACACCUCUGCGAAUGCCCAUGGAGUAGGGCCCCAGAGCCUGGAUUUUAAACCAGUCCUUCCCCAGGUGACGCUAAGGCCCCAGCUUGGCCCCAUCUGAUCAGGUCCAAGGAGUUAAAUGGGUAAACUGAGACGUGAGCAGAUAGGCCCAGCCCGUCCACAGGUGGGGCACGGUUAGGAAUGGCACGGGGUGAGCGUGGGACGCCAAGGACUGCUUGUGCUUCCCUUAGCCCAUGAGCCGGGGCGCAGGCGUAUGAUCACCAUGGUCACAGGGCAACAGGGCCACGCCUGCUCAUUGCUCAAAGCAGGAAACAGGCUCUGGGGAGCCCAGGCAAGGGCAUGGACACAAGGUGUUCAGUGACCUCGGGCGGCCCCGCACCUGUCCUGGAGGUUGGGGGGAUGAUGGGGGCAGGAGGGCGCCUGAGUCAGCAGCACUCGAAGGGAAAGCCGGUCCCUCUUGCAGCCUCCCAGCCUCAGGUCAGCCUCAGGCCAGGGAUGGGCUGCUACCUUCUCGGCAUUUCCUGGGUGGGGUGGCCUCUCCCUACACCCUCCUCCUCCUUCUCCUUGGCCACCCCAGGGACCUUGCCCAGCUCUGAGGUGGGACCCAGGUCUGGCUUCAAAUCCCAAGACAUCCCCUUGCUGGCUGGGUAACCUGAGCUUGAGAAUGUGCUCCCCGAGGGCUCAGUUUUUAACGCUGCUGUUCACUGCUGUGUCCCCAGCGCCUAGAACAGUGCCUGGCACACGGGAGGCUGUAAUGAGGGAGAGGCAGAGGAGAUCUGGGACACAGAAGAGGAGGCCGUGUGGCCACGGAGGCAGAGACGAGAGUUAUGUGGCUGCGAGUCAAGGAAUGUCAACAGUCGCCGGGAGCUGUCAGACGCGAGCACGGGCCUGCCACACCGAUUCCAGCCCAGUGGCGGUGAUUUUAGGUAUCUGACCUCCAAACUGAGGAAAUAAACGUCUGUUGUUUUAAGCCCCCGGAUGUGUUGCGAUCUGUUUCAGCAGCCCCAGGAAGCUAAUGCAGCUGGGAGGCGGCUCCGUUUACCAUAUUGUGGCUGAGUCACCGCCACAGGUGAGCUACAAAUACAAGAACUCAACAGCAACAAAAAUCCGUAAGAGCGUUCUGUGAGAAACAACUGGCUAAACAGAACUUAAAGAGUACUAUGUUUUAUUACCGAUAAUUUAUGUGCUACAUACACAUCUAUCAGUACGAUCUGUAAUAACCUUGUGUGUGUGUGUGUGUGUGUGUGUGUGUGAGAGAGACACACAACAGGUUGUCCCGUACCCACCCUCAGCAGAGCUCAGCACAGUCGGACGCUCGUAUUUUUUGAAUGAAUGAAUGUGACUUACUUUGGGCCUCAGUUUCCCCCACCACACGACAGGAUUAUAGGAAUGGGAUGGGCUCCCCAGCUGGGAAGGGCUGGAGCCAGAUGUUGUUAGAGCACCUCCCGUAUGCAAGCCCGGGCUGGGAGCAGAGAUGGGACUCGGCACAUGGCCCAAACAGCUAGCCGGUGCCCCGGCAGAGGGCUGGGGACGGUCAGAUUCAGGGACUCAGAUACGGCCCCGCAUCUGCUUGGGACCGCUCACAGAGGAUUCUCACAGUCCCAGGGACGGGGUGCCGUGGAACCGCUGUGCCGUGGAACCGCUGUACAGGGACAGAAAGCAGCGCCAGAGACACAGCAGGACCCCCGAGGGCUGGACCCCGUUCCUCUGGCCUCCUCCCUCAGUCCUCAGGGAAAGGGCCUCCUUCACUCAGGGACUAGGAAGAACCCGGGUCUGGCUUUGUCACAGCUGCAGCGGAGAAGCCCUCGCAGCUCCCCAGCCCUCCGCACGAGCCUGCAUCCCGUGACCCAAGUCAGGGGCCCAGGCACGGUGUGGGUGACCUUUCCCUCAGCUCCAAUGUCUUCUCUCCGGGGCAUCCAGGGCCCUAUCCGCCCAGCCCAGUGGCUACCCCUGCAGGCCCAACUGGCCCACCCCCACUUCACAUCCUGUCACUGAUUUGCAGGCCUGAGCCCUGGCCACUCACUUGCUCCCUCUGGACUCUCCCCUCCCCGUUAAAUGGGGAGUUAAGUGGCUUGCCAGGUUUUCACAGCAAGAAUUUGGCCAAGCAGACUGGCUCUGGGCACUGGAAGUGAAAGACGGAGACUCUAGACCAAAGCCCUUGACCAGAACCUGGGAGCCAGGUCCAGGAUCCGGAGGGACUAAAACCCCCUGGACCCCACCCCUACUCUACCCAAACCCCUCUGCCUCAAGCCUGGAUCUGCAUCCACAGCUCUACCGUACUCAUCUUGAGAGCAGGGGCUGGUUUUGCUCACCACGGAGCCACGGUAAGGGCUUGGCCAGCAUACAGUAGGACUCAAGAAUUUGUUUAGUGAGCAAACCCACCUACGUAUUUUCUACAAGGGCCAGGCCCUCUCCUGCCUUUGCUCAUGCUGUUCCUCCUCCACUGGCCCGCAGCCUCUCUGAUCACCCCAAGGAAGACGGGCUUCCAGAACUCAGCACAGUAGGAUCCCUCCCGGCUCCUGUGGGCCCACGGUGCCCUGGGCACCUGGACAUAUGGUUUAUGAAGUCCAUCCUCCUUGCGGUUGGAGGAAAGACGGUGGGCGAGCCCGUCCUCAGCCCUGCGUCAGCAACUGCUCCUCUCCUCUGGGGCCUCGGUGGGCCAUGAAC